GGACUAGGCAGGUGUCAGAAACGGUUAAAAAACACCCUGCAUCCCAAGAUGGAGCAAAGGGAAACCAAUUAUAAACCGGCGCCUCAUCUCCUCCAUCUGCGACAGAGAAACACUUGCUAGGGAUGCACAUGAGAAGCGCAAGCCUUCUGUGUAAACCCCAAAGUGGACAUCUUAAGCCUUGUAAAAAAUACCUGGCUUUUUACCCUUGCUUGUAAAAUGAACUGUAUCUCUUGUUUAGUAUGAAGAGUUGAAGCACCUCGGCGGCCCAGGACUGUUGCAACUCAGACGGGAGAAGAAAGCUUGAGAGCCUCGCAGCUGGGCUGGCACCAAGCUCCCGCAAGCUCCUGUAAAACAGAGGCAGAAAAUAAUAACGAUAAUGGACGGAUCCGAGCACCUUCUUGAAAAGUACGACCGAACGGCAGCGCUGAACACAAAUUAGAGGGGGCAGCGCUCUGGGAACUGCGGACGAAAGGGAACCGCAAUAAAAUCGUCACUUUCCAGAAGUCGAAGGCUGUCGUAUCAGGGGACAGGCCCGAACUCUGGCUCUCCUGACGAGCCCGCCAGACAGGAUGGCCCCCGAGGUUCCUUCGUUCAGACUCCUCGAUUCCCCCAAUUAUUUUUCCACCGUGAUUUUUAUCCACCUGCAAAAGGAUGACAUCGGAUGGUGGAAGAGCAGUUUAAUGUCAACGGGGCUUGUUGCUGGACAACGUAACAUUUGAUGUUGUUUCUAAUUUAAAUCUGCCUUAAGAAUUCAUUCAAAUACAUAUUUGUAUAAAUAAAAAUCU